CAUUGAGGACCAGGCUGGCGUCCUAGAUGAUGCCAAUGUCCAGCACAUCUUGAAGCGCCAUACGUCCUCCGGUAACACCAAGGGCAGCAGCAGGAGCGCAUCGGGAGGCUCUGGAGCCAACAGUGCAGGUAGCAUGGGUGCAGAUGAGCCCAAGAUGGAUAAGGACGGAAACAGAAAUUAGGUCUGCUGCUUCAGACAGGUAUGCAGGAAAACGUGCCAUCGUUCAGUGAAGCCACAUAAGACAAGGAGCCAGUGCAACAGAGUAGUCCUCAUUGCAGAUCUUCCUUCUUGGCACCUCAAGCCAGAAUGCAGAAUCCCAGUUUGAUCUAAAAAUCAGUUCCUUUGGACCCCACCCACCAACAUAUCUGAGGACCUUGAUGCUUAUGGAUUCGGUUCAGCUCCAGGUUUUUAGGGAGGGGGAUUGGGGGUUGGGCAGGAAGUCUUGAUUUCAUGCACAAGUCCACUCUGCCCCCCAUCCCAAAAGUCUCUGGAAGGGGUUGAAUUGGAGCCCAUUUCAGGGAAAGAACAUGCAUAGCCAUAACCACAUAACUUGAACCUACACAUUACAAUAGUGGUGGAAAAAGGAGCUUAACAGAAUCUGUAUGACAUCAAGCAAUCUACACACUCCUUACUGUACAAUCCUACAUAGGAAACUAUCCUUAAUAUAACUGCAAAUAAUGAAACAUUCUUUGUUUUAAUUUCUGUUGUGUAACCAAUGAUCAAAGUAUUGAUUGAUUGAUUGAUUGAUUACCAGAAUGAUGGAAAAGGCUAUUAAUAACUUUGAUGUUUUCAUUUCUUUUCGGCCUUGGCACUCUUUGCUAUAAUCACAUAUAACACAAGUGUAAUGCAAUUUCUAAAGUAUAAGCAAUCUAAAGUAUGAUUUCUAAUGUAUAAGCAAAGUAAUUUAAUUUCUAAAGUAUAAGCAAUCUAUUGUGGCAAGAGGAGAAAAUCUUAAAAAAAACUUCGAUUGAUGUUUUGUUUUCACAUAAUUAAUAAAGAGGGCAUUGCACGGCA